rnacentral:rRNA from 1 species
GAUGAACGCUAGCGGCAGGCCUAAUACAUGCAAGUCGGACGGGAUUCAGGAGCUUGCUUCUGAUGAGAGUGGCGCACGGGUGCGUAACACGUAUGUAACCUACCUUUAUCAGGGGGAUAGCCUCUCGAAAGAGAGAUUAAGCCCGCAUAAAAUCACAGCACAGCAUUGUGUAAUGAUCAAAUAUUUAUAGGAUAAAGAUGGGCAUGCGGAACAUUAGCUAGAUGGCGGGGUAACGGCCCACCAUGGCGACGAUGUUUAGGGGAUCUGAGAGGAUGGCCCCCCACACUGGUACUGAGACACGGACCAGACUCCUACGGAGGCAGCAGUAAGGAAUAUUGGUCAAUGGGCGGAAGCCUGAACCAGCCAUGCCGCGUGCAGGAAGACGGCCCUACGGGUUGUAAACUGCUUUUAUACGGGAAUAAACCCAGAUACGUGUAUCUGGCUGAAUGUACUGUAAGAAUAAGGAUCGGCUAACUCCGUG